rnacentral:rRNA from 1 species
GACGAACGCUGGCGGCGUGCUUAACACAUGCAAGUCGAACGGAAAGGCCCUGCUUUUGUGGGGUGCUCGAGUGGCGAACGGGUGAGUAACACGUGAGUAACCUGCCCUUGACUUUGGAUAACUUCAGGAAACUGGGGCUAAUACCGGAUAGGAGCUCCUGCUGCAUGGUGGGGGUUGGAAAGUUUCGGCGGUUGGGGAUGGACUCGCGGCUUAUCAGCUUGUUGGUGGGGUAGUGGCUUACCAAGGCUUUGACGGGUAGCCGGCCUGAGAGGGUGACCGGCCACAUUGGGACUGAGAUACGGCCCAGACUCCUACGGGAGGCAGCAGUGGGGAAUAUUGCACGAUGGGCGGAAGCCUGAUGCAGCAACGCCGCGUGCGGGAUGACGGCCUUCGGGUUGUAAACCGCUUUCGCCUGUGACGAAGCGUGAGUGACGGUAAUGGGUAAAGAAGCACCGGCUAACUACGUG